rnacentral:rRNA from 1 species
GACGAACGCUGGCGGCGUGCUUAACACAUGCAAGUCGAACGGAAAGGCCCUGCUUUUGUGGGGUGCUCGAGUGGCGAACGGGUGAGUAACACGUGAGUAACCUGCCCUUGACUUUGGGAUAACUUCAGGAAACUGGGGCUAAUACCGGAUAGGAGCUCCUGCUGCAUGGUGGGGGUUGGAAAGUUUCGGCGGUUGGGGAUGGACUCGCGGCUUAUCAGCUUGUUGGUGGGGUAGUGGCUUACCAAGGCUUUGACGGGUAGCCGGCCUGAGAGGGUGACCGGCCACAUUGGGACUGAGAUACGGCCCAGACUCCUACGGGAGGCAGCAGUGGGGAAUAUUGCACAAUGGGCGGAAGCCUGAUGCAGCAACGCCGCGUGCGGGAUGACGGCCUUCGGGUUGUAAACCGCUUUCGCCUGUGACGAAGCGUGAGUGACGGUAAUGGGUAAAGAAGCACCGGCUAACUACGUGCCAGCAGCCGCGGUGAUACGUAGGGUGCGAGCGUUGUCCGGAUUUAUUGGGCGUAAAGGGCUCGUAGGUGGUUGAUCGCGUCGGAAGUGUAAUCUUGGGGCUUAACCCUGAGCGUGCUUUCGAUACGGGUUGACUUGAGGAAGGUAGGGGAGAAUGGAAUUCCUGGUGGAGCGGUGGAAUGCGCAGAUAUCAGGAGGAACGCCAGUGGCGAAGGCGGUUCUCUGGGCCUUUCCUGACGCUGAGGAGCGAAAGCGUGGGGAGCGAACAGGCUUAGAUACCCUGGUAGUCCACGCUGUAAACGGUGGGUACUAGGUGUGGGGUCCAUUCCACGGGUUCCGUGCCGUAGCUAACGCUUUAAGUACCCCGCCUGGGGAGUACGGCCGCAAGGCUAAAACUCAAAGGAAUUGACGGGGCCCCGCACAAGCGGCGGAGCAUGCGGAUUAAUUCGAUGCAACGCGUAGAACCUUACCUGGGUUUGACAUGGAUCGGGAGUGCUCAGAGAUGGGUGUGCCUCUUUUGGGGUCGGUUCACAGGUGGUGCAUGGCUGUCGUCAGCUCGUGUCGUGAGAUGUUGGGUUAAGUCCCGCAACGAGCGCAACCCUUGUUCACUGUUGCCAGCACGUUAUGGUGGGGACUCAGUGGAGACCGCCGGGGUCAACUCGGAGGAAGGUGGGGAUGACGUCAAGUCAUCAUGCCCCUUAUGUCCAGGGCUUCACGCAUGCUACAAUGGCUGGUACAGAGAGUGGCGAGCCUGUGAGGGUGAGCGAAUCUCGGAAAGCCGGUCUCAGUUCGGAUUGGGGUCUGCAACUCGACCUCAUGAAGUCGGAGUCGCUAGUAAUCGCAGAUCAGCAACGCUGCGGUGAAAAAGUUCCCGGGGCU